GCUAACGCGGCUUAAGCAGUUAGUAAACCUCUUUUAAAAUGGUUUUUAAAAGGGGUUUACUUUUUAAUUU
rnacentral:antisense_RNA from 1 species